UACGUAGGGGGCAAGCGUUGUCCGGAAUCAUUGGGCGUAAAGCGCGUGUAGGCGGCCAGGUAAGUCCGUUCUGAAAGCCCGGGGCUCAACCCCGGGAGGCGGAUGGAUACUGCUUGGCUCGAGUCCGGAAGAGGAGAGUGGAAUUCCUGGUGUAGCGGUGAAAUGCGCAGAUAUCAGGAAGAACACCUAUGGCGAAGGCAGCUCUCUGGGACGGUACUGACGCUGAGACGCGAAAGCGUGGGGAGCGAACAGG
rnacentral:rRNA from 1 species